rnacentral:rRNA from 1 species
UACGAGGGGGGCUAGCGUUGUUCGGAAUUACUGGGCGUAAAGGGCGCGUAGGCGGUGUGUCAAGUCAGGCGUGAAAGCCCCGGGCUCAACCUGGGAACUGCGCUUGAGACUGGCACGCUCGAGUUCGGGAGAGGAUGGUGGAAUUCCCAGUGUAGAGGUGAAAUUCGUAGAUAUUGGGAAGAACACCGAUGGCGAAGGCAGCCAUCUGGACCGACACUGACGCUGAGGCGCGAAAGCGUGGGGAGCAAACAGG